rnacentral:rRNA from 1 species
AGUGAACGCUGGCGGUAUGCCUAACACAUGCAAGUCGAACGGCAGCACAGUAAGAGCUUGCUCUUACGGGUGGCGAGUGGCGGACGGGUGAGGAAUACAUCGGAAUCUACUUUUUCGUGGGGGAUAACGUAGGGAAACUUACGCUAAUACCGCAUACGACCUACGUGUGAAAGCAGGGGAUCUUCGGACCUUGCGCGAUUGAAUGAGCCGAUGUCGGAUUAGCUAGUUGGCGGGGUAAAGGCCCACCAAGGCGACGAUCCGUAGCUGGUCUGAGAGGAUGAUCAGCCACACUGGAACUGAGACACGGUCCAGACUCCGACGGGAGGCAGCAGUGGGGAAUAUUGGACAAUGGGCGCAAGCCUGAUCCAGCCAUACCGCGUGGGUGAAGAAGGCCUUCGGGUUGUAAAGCCCUUUUGUUGGGAAAGAAAAGCAGCAGGUUAAUACCCCGCUGUUCUGACGGUACCCAAAGAAUAAGCACCGGCUAACUUCGUG